rnacentral:rRNA from 1 species
AUUUGGGAAUUAAUAAAUUUAUAUUUAAUAAAAAUAAUUUUAAUUUAAUAAAUAUUUUAAUGGGGGUUAAAGUAUUUUUUAAAGAAAAAAUUUUUAAUUUUAUAGUAUAAUAGUAUUGUGUAAGAAUUUUGAAAUAAUUGAAAAUUUAAUUUUAAUAAAGUAAUUUUUAUUUGAUGUAUCUUGUGUAUCAGAGUUUAUUUAAAUUUUUAAUUUUUAAAUUAAUUUCUCGAAUUUAAAAGAGUUAAAUAAUUAUUAAAUUUAUUGUUGCAAAAAUAUUUUAAAUAAUUAUUUAGAAAUGAAAUGUUAAUCGUUUUUAAAUAUAUCUAGUUUUUAUAGAAAAAAUUUUAAUUUUAAAUUUAAUUUUAUUAUUAAUUAAUUAAUUAAUUAAAUAAUUAUUUAAAUUUUAUAUUUUAAGGGAUAAGCUUUAAAUUAAAUUUUUAUAAUAAAAAAUAUUUAUUUUUGAAAAUUUUAUAAUUUAUAUUGUUAAUAAAUUUUAUUUUAUUAUAAAUAAUUUCAUUUUAUUAAAAAAUUUAAAUUUUUAUUUAAUUUUUUAUAUAAAAUUUAUUUUUAAUUAUUAAAAAUUAAUUAUAAUGAUAAAAUUAGUAUAUUAUAUUUUAAAAAUUAUUUUUAAUUUGAAUUUUAUUAUUUAAUUUAAUUAAUUAAAAGGAAUUCGGCAAAUAUUUAUUUUCACUUGUUUAUCAAAAACAUGUCUUUUUGUUGAUUUAUUUAAAGUCUAAUCUGCCCACUGAUUUUAAUUGAAGGGCUGCAGUAUUUUGACUGUACAAAGGUAGCAUAAUCAUUAGUCUCUUAAUUGGUGACUUGUAUGAAAGAUUGGAUGAGAAAUAUACUGUCUCUUAAUUAAUGUGUAGAAUUUAAUUUUUUAUUUAAAAAGUUAAAAUAAAUUAAAAAGACGAGAAGACCCUAUAGAGUUUAAUAAAUUUUUUUAUGAUAAUUUUAUUUGUAUUAAAUUGAAAUAAUUUUAUAAAUUUAUUUAUUUUAUUGGGGUGAUAGAAAAAUAAAUUUAACUUUUUUUAAAGAAUUUAACAAAAAUAUAUGAUUAAAUGAUCCAGUUUAUUAUUGAUUAAAAGAUUAAAUUACCUUAGGGAUAACAGCGUAAUUUUUUUUUUUAGUUCGAAUAAUAAAAAAAGUUUGCGACCUCGAUGUUGGAUUAAGAUAAAAUUUAAAUGUAAAAGUUUAAAAUUUUGAUCUG